rnacentral:rRNA from 1 species
GGAAUAUUGGUCAAUGGACGGGAGUCUGAACCAGCCAAGUAGCGUGCAGGACGACGGCCCUAUGGGUUGUAAACUGCUUUUAUACGGGGAUAAAGUCGCCCACGUGUGGGUGUUUGUAGGUACUGUAUGAAUAAGGACCGGCUAAUUCCGUGCCAGCAGCCGCGGUAAUACGGAAGGUCCGGGCGUUAUCCGGAUUUAUUGGGUUUAAAGGGAGCGCAGGCUGAUGAUUAAGCGUGACGUGAAAUGUAGCCGCUCAACGGCUGAACUGCGUCGCGAACUGGUUAUCUUGAGUGAGUUCGAUGUUGGCGGAAUUCGUGGUGUAGCGGUGAAAUGCUUAGAUAUCACGAAGAACUCCGAUUGCGAAGGCAGCCAACAAGGCCUUUACUGACGCUAAAGCUCGAAGGUGCGGGUAUCGAACA